rnacentral:rRNA from 1 species
AUGAAAACAAACAUUAGGGGGAAAUAUCUGGAAACACCUAGAGAAUGGACUCUUUGUAGUUUGGUUCAUAACCACUCCAUCAAGAUCCUCGAUGGGUAG